rnacentral:rRNA from 1 species
UGGGGAAUAUUGGACAAUGGGGGGAACCCUGAUCCAGCCAUGCCGCGUGUGUGAAGAAGGCCUUAUGGUUGUAAGCACUUUAAGCGAGGAGGAGGGUACUGGUAUUAAUACUACCAGGUACUGGACGUUACUCGCAGAAUAAGCACCGGCUAACUCUGUGACAGCAGCCGCGGUAAUACAGAGGGUGCGAGCGUUAAUCGGAUUUACUGGGCGUAAAGCGUGCGUAGGCGGCUAAUUGAGUCGGAUGUGAAAUCCCCGAGCUUAACUUGGGAAUUGCAUUCGAUACUGGUUAGCUAGAGUGUGGGAGAGGAUGGUAGAAUUCCAGGUGUAGCGGUGAAAUGCGUAGAGAUCUGGAGGAAUACCGAUGGCGAAGGCAGCCAUCUGGCCUAACACUGACGCUGAGGUACGAAAGCAUGGGGAGCAAACAGG